ensembl:lncRNA
CCCAAAUCCAAUACAACUGGUGUCCCUGACAUUUGGACACACGCAAAAGCUCAGGGGGAACAUCCUUUGAAGAUGAAGGCAGGUAUCAGUGGGAUGUGUCUGCAAGGCAAGGAACACCAGAGAUUCCCAGCCAGCUCUCAGCAGCUAGGGGGAAGUCUGGCUUGGGUUUUUCCCUCAUAGCCCUCAGAAGGAGCAAACCCAGCCUCAACCUUGGGCUUCUAACUUCCAGAACGUUAUUGAAAGAAAAAAAAAGAGAGAGAGAUGCUGACCUCAAGAAGAAUGAUAGCAAUUAUUGUAAAGGUCAAGUCUGUCCUUGGAGGGAACAACACUAUUGCUGCUCACAAGAAAAUUUGAGUCAUAAUGUUCUUGGACACUGACGGGACUGUCUAAAG